CUGCGUGCGCUGCUUCGCCGCCGCGCACCUGCACGCGCCGCCGCACCAGGCCGCGCACGCGCUGCGGGGGCUCGCCAACAUACUGCACCUGCAAAACCGGCAAGAAGACGCGAAAGAUGUGUCGUACCUGUCAUUCUACAUGACCCCAAAGAACAAGAUUGACGCGUUCCUGGUGGCAGUUGGACAUUCCUACCUGUCGGAAUUCGAUCAAGCAAUCUGGAUGUUCCGUUACGCCCUGACAUUCGACGACAAGUUUCUGCCUCCAAAGGCCUGUCUCCACGCGACCAUGUGUAUCAUGCUGUACGGGGACCCCACUAAGGACGAAAAGCAGGCCAAACCAGUAUAAACUGGUUACUACCGAAUGUAUCCAUGGCAGAACUAUACUGCAAGUUAGUAGUGAUUUAUCAUUGAUUCUAUGGGUUUGUAAUGGCUUGUUCCCACAGAGAUAUUCCGUUUUUUAGGAUCCUGUUUAG